AUUGAACGCUGGCGGCAUGCCUUACACAUGCAAGUCGAACGGUAACAGGUCUUCGGAUGCUGACGAGUGGCGAACGGGUGAGUAAUGUAUCGGAACGUGCCCAGUCGUGGGGGAUAACUACUCGAAAGAGUGGCUAAUACCGCAUACGACCUGAGGGUGAAAGCGGGGGACCGUAAGGCCUCGCGCGAUUGGAGCGGCCGAUAUCAGAUUAGGUAGGUGGUGGGGUAAAGGCCCACCAAGCCGAAGAUCUGUAGCUGGUCUGAGAGGACGACCAGCCAAGCUGGGACUGAGACACGGCCCAGACUCCGACGGGAGGCAGCAGUGGGUAAUUUUGGACAAUGGGCGCAAGCCUGAUCCAGCCAUGCCGCGUGCGGGAAGAAGGCCUUCGGGUUGUAAACCGCUUUUGUCAGGGAAGAAACGGAUUUCUCUAAUACAGAGAUCUAAUGACGGUACCUGAAGAAUAAGCACCGGCUAACUACGUGCCAGCCGCCGCCGUAACAC
rnacentral:rRNA from 1 species